rnacentral:piRNA from 1 species
UUGACACAGUGUCUUUCAUUGUAUAUGGUA